UCUAUUUUUUAUACGUAGAUGUUUCAGGUUUUAAGAAUAAAUUGGUUGAACCCAAAAUCUGGAGGAAGUACCUAUAUCCAUACACAGAAUAUGCCCAUUAAAAAUACUAGUCCAAAUUUGCUUUAAUGGAACGAUUAGGGCCCGAUAUAUUUGAAACUCAUGUUGGACAUAGUAUUGAGUUGGGUAGAAUAUUAUUCUACGUUAAGUGAGGGUAUCAGAUACCUAUUAUUGUACUGUAUUUUAAUAUAUACAUUAGAAUUGUUGGUUUUUU